rnacentral:rRNA from 1 species
UACGUAGGGGGCAAGCGUUGUCCGGAUUUAUUGGGCGUAAAGAGCUCGUAGGCGGUUUGUCGCGUCUGCCGUGAAAGUCCGGGGCUCAACUCCGGAUCUGCGGUGGGUACGGGCAGACUAGAGUGAUGUAGGGGAGACUGGAAUUCCUGGUGUAGCGGUGGAAUGCGCAGACUAUCAGGAGGAACACCGGUGGCGAAGGCGGGUCUCUGGGCAGUAACUGACGCUGAGGAGCGAAAGCGUGGGGAGCGAACAGG